AGUGAACGCUGGCGGCGUGCUUAACGCAUGCAAGUCGAACGAGAACGGAAUAUAGCUUGCUAUAUUUGUCAGCUAAGUGGCGCACGGGUGAGUAAUGUAUAGAUAACCUGCCCUUAAGAAAGGAAUAACAGUUGGAAACGACUGCUAAUGCCCUAUAUGCCUUUAAUACAUAAGUAUGCAAGGGAAACGCUUUAGUGCUUAAGGAUGGGUCUGUAUGGUAUCAGCUUGUUGGUGAGGUAAUGGCUCACCAAGGCUAUGACGCCUAACUGGUUUGAGAGGAUGAUCAGUCACACUGGAACUGAGACACGGUCAAGACUCCUACGGGAGGCAGCAGUGGGGAAUAUUGCACAAUGGACGAAAGUCUGAUGCAGCAACGCCGCGUGGAGGAUGACACAUUUCGGUGCGUAAACUCCUUUUAUAUAGGAAGAUAAUGACGGUACUAUAUGAAUAAGCACCGGCUAACUCCGUGCCAGCAGCCGCGGUAA
rnacentral:rRNA from 1 species